rnacentral:rRNA from 1 species
UACGGGGGGGGGCGAGCGUUGUCCGGAAUUAUUGGGCGUAAAGAGCUCGUAGGCGGUCUGUCGCGUCGAUCGUGAAAACUUGGGGCUUAACCCUGAGCUUGCGGUCGAUACGGGCAUGACUGGAGUUCGGCAGGGGAGACUGGAAUUCCUGGUGUAGCGGUGGAAUGCGCAGAUAUCAUGAGGAAGACCAGUGGCGAAGGCGGGUCUCUGGACAGUUCCUGACACUGAGACACGAAGGCCAGGGGAGCAAACGGG